GUGAAGUUGAUCACAUACAAACAUAUACCCCUUUGUUUGACCGUGAAAAAUUUCUCCCAUCCCCUUUGUUCGUGAGAAAAGGCCUUGUAAUGAUACAAGGCCUUUUCU
rfam:Bacillus sp. FJAT-27231 Scaffold1, whole genome shotgun sequence.